GCCUACGGCCAUGUCAUCCUGAACAAGCCCGAUGUCUGAUCUCGGAAGCUAAGCAGAGUCGGGCCUGGUUAGUACUUGAAUGGGAGACCAUCUAGGAAGACCAGGUACUAUAGCCA
rnacentral:rRNA from 1 species